rnacentral:rRNA from 1 species
UGGGGAAUUUUGCGCAAUGGGCGAAAGCCUGACGCAGCGACGCCGCGUGUACGAUGAAGGCCUUUGGGUCGUAAAGUACUGUCAACGGGGACGAACGCCUCAGAUUGAAUAGGUCUGAGGUCUGACGGUACCCGUGGAGGAAGCACCGGCUAACUCUGUGCCAGCAGCCGCGGUAAUACGGAGGAUGCAAGCGUUAUCCGGAAUGAUUGGGCGUAAAGCGUCUGCAGGUGGCUAUGCAAGUCUGCUGUUAAAGAGUGGAGCUCAACUCCAUAAGGGCAGUGGAAACUGCGUAACUAGAGUACGUUCGGGGUAGAGGGAAUUCCUGGUGUAGCGGUGAAAUGCGUAGAUAUCAGGAAGAACACCGGUGGCGAAAGCGCUCUACUAGGCCGUAACUGACACUGAGAGACGAAAGCUAAGGGAGCGAAUGGGAUUAGAUACCCCUGUAGUCC